GAUUAUUAAGAGACGGAGUGCUUCCAAAACGACAGGAAGUUGAAUCUGAAUAUGCCUCAGUACCCCGUAGGAAAUGUACUACACAAAUACAAAGGCAGCUCCUCUGAGAACAGGUUCGAUGAGACGUGCAAUGAUGCACAGGAUUGAAGAGACAUUAGGUGAAGCCAGGAGGACACAGGUUAAAACAGAAGAACAUGAUGCUUCAAGCAAUGGGUUAUCAAUCUGUCUUUAGUCUAGGAAACUGUAACUGUUAAAAGUUUAACAAGUUUGGCAGAGACUGACAAUUAAGGAAGAAAAAUCACAGAAUCUCUGAGGCUGGAAGGAAUCCCUGGAUAUUAUCUAGUUUAACAUCCUUGCUCAGUCAUGGUCAGCUAUCAUAAGUUGCUCCGUGUCUCCACAAAUGAAGCCUCCAGAACCUCUUUGGGCAGUCUGUUCCUGUUUGAUCACCCUCACAGUAUUUUCUUUUUCUUACACUUAAAUGGAAUUAAAUAUCUGAUCAUUGUGUGUUGUCCCGUCACUGAACAACCCCGAGGAGAGUUUGGAUCCAUCUUUUUUACCUCCUCCCAGCACAUAUUUACACACAUUGAUAAGAAUGUAUAUGAAUGACAUCUUGUGAGACACUGAAAUGGUUUAUGACUUAAACAUUGUUAAAAUCACUGAAGGACUUUUGUCCACUGUAGCAGACUGUGCAAAGAAGCAACUGCUCACCAAGGCCUAGCCCUCCCUGAACAUCCCUACUAAUUUGGACUGUGAUAGGAACUUGAGAUAAGAUAAAGGUACUAUGCCCAAUUAUCCUAGGAGAAGAAUGCAUCCACAAGUGUGAAAGACUGGAAUGCUGAUGUCUCUAACAAUCAAGGUGCAAACUGAAAAUGUGCAAAGUAACUGCCCAGGUGCUGAAGGUGUGCACACCAGACACCUCAGGCUACCAGCUGGGUAUUGAUCAAGAUAAGGAAAGAAGCAAAUCCUUCGAGGUGGGGUAGUGUUUCUUUUUCCUUACAGGAGUGAUUCAUCUGUGAUAACUCCCCUCUGGGGAAGCAUUGUGACAAUUCACAUAU